rnacentral:rRNA from 1 species
GACGAACGCUGGCGGCGUGCUUAACACAUGCAAGUCGAACGGAAAGGCCCUGCUUUUGUGGGGUGCUCGAGUGGCGAACGGGUGAGUAACACGUGAGUAACCUGCCCUUGACUUUGGGAUAACUUCAGGAAACUGGGGCUAAUACCGGAUAGGAGCUCCUGCUGCAUGGUGGGGGUUGGAAAGUUUCGGCGGUUGGGGAUGGACUCGCGGCUUAUCAGCUUGUUGGUGGGGUAGUGGCUUACCAAGGCUUUGACGGGUAGCCGGCCUGAGAGGGUGACCGGCCACAUUGGGACUGAGAUACGGCCCAGACUCCUACGGGAGGCAGCAGUGGGGAAUAUUGCACAAUGGGCGGAAGCCUGAUGCAGCAACGCCGCGUGCGGGAUGACGGCCUUCGGGUUGUAAACCGCUUUCGCCUGUGACGAAGCGUGAGUGACGGUAAUGGGUAAAGAAGCACCGGCUAACUACGUGCCAGCAGCCGCGGUGAUACGUAGGGUGCGAGCGUUGUCCGGAUUUAUUGGGCGUAAAGGGCUCGUAGGUGGUUGAUCGCGUCGGAAGUGUAAUCUUGGGGCUUAACCCUGAGCGUGCUUUCGAUACGGGUUGACUUGAGGAAGGUAGGGGAGAAUGGAAUUCCUGGUGGAGCGGUGGAAUGCGCAGAUAUCAGGAGGAACACCAGUGGCGAAGGCGGUUCUCUGGGCCUUUCCUGACGCUGAGGAGCGAAAGCGUGGGGAGCGAACAGGCUUAGAUACCCUGGUAGUCCACGCUGUAAACGGUGGGUACUAGGUGUGGGGUCCAUUCCACGGGUUCCGUGCCGUAGCUAACGCUUUAAGUACCCCGCCUGGGGAGUACGGCCGCAAGGCUAAAACUCAAAGGAAUUGACGGGGCCCCGCACAAGCGGCGGAGCAUGCGGAUUAAUUCGAUGCAACGCGUAGAACCUUACCUGGGUUUGACAUGGAUCGGGAGUGCUCAGAGAUGGGUGUGCCUCUUUUGGGGUCGGUUCACAGGUGGUGCAUGCCUGUCGUCAGCUCGUGUCGUGAGAUGUUGGGUUAAGUCCCGCAACGAGCGCAACCCUUGUUCACUGUUGCCAGCACGUUAUGGUGGGGACUCAGUGGAGACCGCCGGGGUCAACUCGGAGGAAGGUGGGGAUGACGUCAAGUCCUCAUGCCCCUUAUGUCCAGGGCUUCACGCAUGCUACAAUGGCUGGUACAGAGAGUGGCGAGCCUGUGAGGGUGAGCGAAUCUCGGAAAGCCGGUCUCAGUUCGGAUUGGGGCCUGCAACUCGACCUCAUGAAGUCGGAGUCGCUAGUAAUCGCAGAUCAGCAACGCUGCGGUGAAUACGUUCCCGGG